AUGCCAUGGUGUGGACACUUCCUAAUAAAGUCCUUGUAUCUCUCCCAUGCCUCAUACAAGGGUUCAGAAUCAAGUUGAGAGAAAGUAGUGAUGUCAUUCCUCAUCUU